rnacentral:rRNA from 1 species
UACGAAGGGAGCUAGCGUUACUCGGAAUUAUUGGGCGUAAAGCGUGCGUAGGCUGUUUUGUAAGUCAGAAGUGAAAGCCUGAGGCUCAACCUCAGAAUAGCUUUUGAAACUGCAAGGCUAGAAUACCAGAGAGGAUGAUGGAAUUCCUAGUGUAGAGGUGAAAUUCGUAGAUAUUAGGAGGAACACCGGCGGCGAAGGCGGUCAUCUGGCUGGUUAUUGACGCUGUUGCACGAAAGCGUGGGGAGCAAACAGG